rnacentral:rRNA from 1 species
UGGGGAAUAUUGCGCAAUGGGGGGAACCCUGACGCAGCCAUGCCGCGUGAAUGAAGAAGGCCUUCGGGUUGUAAAGUUCUUUCGGUAUUGAGGAAGGUUGAUGUGUUAAUAGCACAUCAAAUUGACGUUAAAUACAGAAGAAGCACCGGCUAACUCCGUGCCAGCAGCCGCGGUAAUACGGAGGGUGCGAGCGUUAAUCGGAAUAACUGGGCGUAAAGGGCACGCAGGCGGUUAUUUAAGUGAGGUGUGAAAGCCCCGGGCUUAACCUGGGAAUUGCAUUUCAGACUGGGUAACUAGAGUACUUUAGGGAGGGGUAGAAUUCCACGUGUAGCGGUGAAAUGCGUAGAGAUGUGGAGGAAUACCGAAGGCGAAGGCAGCCCCUUGGGAAUGUACUGACGCUCAUGUGCGAAAGCGUGGGGAGCAAACAGGAUUAGAUACCCUGGUAGUCCACGCUGUAAACGCUGUCGAUUUGGGGGGUUGGGGUUUAACUCUGGCGCCCGUAGCUAACGUGAUAAAUCGACCGCCUGGGGAGUACGGCCGCAAGGUUA